CAGUCGCCGCGGUAAUACGUAGGUGGCAAGCGUUGUCCGGAAUUAUUGGGCGUAAAGCGCGCGCAGGUGGUUUAAUAAGUCUGAUGUGAAAGCCCACGGCUCAACCGUGGAGGGUCAUUGGAAACUGUUAAACUUGAGUGCAGGAGAGAAAAGUGGAAUUCCUAGUGUAGCGGUGAAAUGCGUAGAGAUUAGGAGGAACACCAGUGGCGAAGGCGGCUUUUUGGCCUGUAACUGAUACUGAGGCGCGAAAGCGUGGGGAGCAAACAGGAUUAGAUACCCCCGUAGUCCCUGUCUCUUAUAC
rnacentral:rRNA from 1 species